rnacentral:rRNA from 1 species
AGCAGCCGCGGUAAUUCCAGCUCCAAUAGCGUAUAUUAAAGUUGUUGCAGUUAAAAAGCUCGUAGUUGAAUUUCGGGAUCAAUUUGCUGGUCGUGCCUCUGGUACGUACUGGUAUUAUUGGUUUCUCCCUCCUGACGAACCAUGAUGUCAUUAAUUUGAUGUCGUGGAGAAUCAGGACUGUUACUUUGAAAAAUUAGAGUGUUUAAAGCAGGCAUUAGCUUGAAUACAUUAGCAUGGAAUAAUGAAAUAGGACGUUUGAUCCUAUUUUGUUGGUUUCUAGGAUUGACGUAAUGAUUAAUAGGGAUAGUUGGGGGCAUUAGUAUUCAAUUGUCAGAGGUGAAAUUCUUGGAUUUAUUGAAGACUAACUACUGCGAAAGCAUUUGCCAAGGAUGUUUUCAUUAAUCAAGAACGAAAGUUAGGGGAUCGAAGACGAUCAGACACCGUCGUAGU